rnacentral:rRNA from 1 species
AUUGAACGCUGGCGGCAGGCCUAACACAUGCAAGUCGAGCGGAGCGGCGGUCGGGUGAGUAAUGCCUAGGAAUCUGCCUGGUAGUGGGGGAUAACGUACGGCAACGGGAGCUAAUACCGCAUACUAUCAGAUGAGCUUCGGUCGGAUUAACUAGUUGGAGGGGUAAAGGCCUACCAAGGCGACGAUCCGUAACUGGUCUGAGAGGGUGAUCAGUCACACUGGAACUGAGACACGGUCCAGACUCCUACGGGAGGCAGCAGUGGGGAAUGUUGGACAAUGGGCGAAAGCCUGAUCCAGCCAUGACGCGUGUGUGAAGAAGGUCUUCGGAUUGUAAAGCGCUGUAAGUAGAGAAGCGUUAUCUACAGAGUAAGCGCCGGCUAACUACGUGCCAGCAGCCGCGGUAAUAC